rnacentral:rRNA from 1 species
AGUCAGCUGUUAAUUAAUUAACAACAGGCUAGCCAAGUGGCGGACGGGUGAGUAACGCGUGGGCAAUCUGCCCAUAAGACUGGGACAACAUCAGGAAAACUGAUGCUAAUACCGGAUACAGUCAUGAGCAGGCAUCUGCACAUGAUAAAAAGGCAGCCUCUCGACGAAGCAGCUGCUUAUGGAUGAGCCCGCGUUCCAUUAGCCAGUUGGUGAGGUAACGGCUCACCAAAGCGACGAUGGAUAGCCGGUCUGAGAGGGCGAUCGGCCACACUGGGACUGAGACACGGCCCAGACUCCUACGGGAGGCAGCAGUGGGGAAUAUUGCGCAAUGGGGGGAACCCUGACGCAGCGACGCCGCGUGAGCGAAGAAGGCUUUCGAGUUGUAAAGCUCUGUAAUAAGGGAAGAACGCUGUAUAUACGAAGAGUAUAUGCAGCUGACAGUACCUUAACAACAGCCCCGGCUAACUACGUG